rnacentral:rRNA from 1 species
UAUCUCUGUAGAGUCUGCAUAUCAAUAAGCGGAGGAAAAGAAACUAACUAGGAUUCCCUCAGUAACGGCGAGUGAAGCGGGAAGAGCUCAAAUUUGAAAUCUUCAAGGUUCUACCUUGACGAAUUGUAGUUUAAAGAAGUGUUUUCUGUUAGAUUUGAGUAGCAAAAGUUCCUUGGAAUAGGGACAUCAUAGAGGGUGAGAAUCCCGUAUUUGGAUCAUUAUUUCCAGCUUUGUGAUACACUUUCAAAGAGUCGGAUUGUUUGGGAAUGCAGUCCAAAAUGGGUGGUAAAUUUCAUCUAAAGCUAAAUAUUGGCGAGAGACCGAUAGCGAACAAGUACCGUGAGGGAAAGAUGAAAAGAACUUUGAAAAGAGAGUUAAACAGUACGUGAAAUUGUCAAAAGGGAAGCGUUUGACACCAGUGUUGUUUUUCCGAAAAUCAAUUACGAAUGGCUUGAUUUUGUGUUGUAUUGACCUUAUCAGCUUUCUUCACUUUUUUCGAGUCUUUCUUAAUGCACUUUUCGGUUAACAAGUCAACAUCAAUUUCUUUUGUUGUAAAAGGGUAUUCGGAAGGUGGCUUUCUUUUCGGAGAAAGUGUUUAUAGCCCUAUACUUCUACAAUCGGAGAGAUUGAGGUCUGCAGCGUAGAUCCUUCGGGGUUAGAUACACUUGUGCUAAGUUGUAGCUUUUCAUAGACAACUUGUUGACUAUGUUUAGUCAUGCGGCUUACUCGCUUGUGCUAUUUUACCUACGCUUAGGAUGUUGACUGAUAUGUAGUCGUA